AGAGUUUGAUUCUGGCUCAGGAUGAACGCUGGCGGCGUGCUUAACACAUGCAAGUCGAACGGAGUUUUUAAACGGAAGUUUUCGGAUGGAAGUUAAAACUUAGUGGCGGACGGGUGAGUAACGCGUGGGUAACCUGCCUCAUACAGGGGGAUAACAGUUAGAAAUGACUGCUAACACCGCAUAAUAUAGCGAAACCGCAUGAUUUUGCUAUCAAAUAUUUAUAGGUAUGAGAUGGGCCCGCGUCUGAUUAGCUAGUUGGUGGGGUAAAAGCCUACCAAGGCGACGAUCAGUAGCCGGCUUGAGAGAGUGACCGGCCACAUUGGGACUGAGACACGGCCCAAACUCCUACGGGAGGCAGCAGUGGGGAAUAUUGGACAAUGGGGGAAACCCUGAUCCAGCGAACCGCCGCGUGAGCGAAGAAGUAUUUCGGUAUGUAAAGCUCUAUCAGCAGGGAAGAUAAUGACAGUACCUGACUAAGAAGCCCCGGCUAACUACGUGCCAGCCGCAGC
rnacentral:rRNA from 1 species